AUCUGAGAUGAGUUCUGAUGUCAGUUUGGAUUCUGCCUUAUAAAUGUGCUAAUCACAAGGGCAGGUCCCUCUCAGAGUAUAGCUCAUCGAUGACCUCCCUCUGACACACUUGAAAGCUUUUAUAGUAAAUAAUUGUAGUAAAGAGCGUUUACUUUAGGAUGCUGGCUUCAAUCCAAGUUGAAUAAAAGAUUUUUGAUAAAUAUCAUUUGCACGUGUGAUAUCAUCCAGUAGAAGGCUGUUUGGUAUGCUUAAGUGUUCUGUAGUCCUCACGGGGUUGGCAGAAUCACUGGUGGGUUAGGAGCCUUAUCUUCUAUUUAUUUUAGUGGGUGCUUCUACUAAAUGUUGUUGACUAGAUAGAGGAAUGCAGUCUCAUAUUUUAUCCUGGCUGUAACAAAAUGAUGAUCCUAUAGAGUCGGGAACUGAAAGUCAUCAAGCAGCUUUGUUAGGUGCUGUGAGUCAGAGUGUGGCCCCAGAUGUUUGUUACAAGUUCUAGGUCAUGUGUGCUUAGUAGAUGAAUUUUGGAACUGAAUUUUCAGCCCUCUUUCCUUAGUGUCUUUUAUCAGAGGAGGCUUUAAAAUUCACCAGAGAGAAGAGCUUCUGUUCUCUUCUCACUCCCACUCCCAUUCCUUCUCUCCAGGAUCGUUUUUCAGAAUAAAUACUGAAAAGGAAAAGCAUGAGAGGUUUGUUGGGAUUGUUGUAGUGUUUUUACAAGAGAAUCUGACGUUUGCUAUUUUCAUCUUUGGAUAUUCAUUCUGGGUUUGUAUUCUUUCUUUUCAGCUGUUUGAGAACUUCUACUUUGGUACCCUGAAGCUCAAUUCAGUUCACAUCUCUCAGAGGUUCACAAUAGACAGCUUUGGAAACUACGCCUCCUGUGGGCAAAUUGACUUCUCCUGAGGUGGAUCUUGGGAAGCGCUAGAAGUUGAACAUCCUCACAAGGGUCUACCUUUCUUUCUGAAGUUCUUCUCUGGAAAUGUACAUCUCAAGCCCAUUGGAGCUGAGAGUCACGUUAUUUCUUAUACACCUACUGAUUUUGCUCCAGCCAUUAAACUUUCAUAUUAAUACUUUAAAAGAGAAUUAAAGACGUGGUUUUGUUACUCUC